rnacentral:rRNA from 1 species
GACGAACGCUGGCGGCGUGCUUAACACAUGCAAGUCGAACGGAAAGGCCCUGCUUUUGUGGGGUGCUCGAGUGGCGAACGGGUGAGUAACACGUGAGUAACCUGCCCUUGACUUUGGGAUAACUUCAGGAAACUGGGGCUAAUACCGGAUAGGAGCUCCUGCUGCAUGGUGGGGGUUGGAAAGUUUCGGCGGUUGGGGAUGGACUCGCGGCUUAUCAGCUUGUUGGUGGGGUAGUGGCUUACCAAGGCUUUGACGGGUAGCCGGCCUGAGAGGGUGACCGGCCACAUUGGGACUGAGAUACGGCCCAGACUCCUACGGGAGGCAGCAGUGGGGAAUAUUGCACAAUGGGCGGAUGCCUGAUGCAGCAACGCCGCGUGCGGGAUGACGGCCUUCGGGUUGUAAACCGCUUUCGCCUGUGACGAAGCGUGAGUGACGGUAAUGGGUAAAGAAGCACCGGCUAACUACGUGC